CACGCCGGCCAUAGUUGGCGGGUUCCACCCGUUCCCAUACCGAACACGGAAGUUAAACCGCCAAACGUCUGCGGUUGUACUAGGCUCCGAGAGGGCCUGGGAAGCCGCAGAAGCUGGCGGCC
rnacentral:rRNA from 3 species